UGCGUAGGCUGUUUCGUAAGUCGUGUGUGAAAGGCGCGGGCUCAACCCGCGGACGGCACACGAUACUGCGAGACUAGAGUAAUGGAGGGGGAACCGGAAUUCUCGGUGUAGCAGUGAAAUGCGUAGAUAUCGAGAGGAACACUCGUGGCGAAGGCGGGUUCCUGGACAUUAACUGACGCUGAGGCACGAAGGCCAGGGGAGCGAAAG
rnacentral:rRNA from 1 species